AACGAACGCUGGCGGCGUGGAUAAGACAUGCAAGUCGAACGGGAUUACUUUUGGUAGCAAUACCGAAAGUAAUUCAGUGGCGAACGGGUGCGUAACACGUGGGCAAUCUGCCGAAAAGUGGGGGAGUAGCUCGCCGAAAGGCGAAUUAAUACCGCAUGUGGUGAGGGACGACAUCUUCCUGAAUCCAAAGACCGGGGCGAACCUGGCGCUUUUUGUAGGAGCCCGCGGCCUAUCAGCNGUUGGCGGGGUAACGGGCCCACCAAGGCUAUGACGGGUAGCUGGUCUGAGAGGACGACCAGUCACACUGGAACUGAGACACGGUCCAGACACCUACGGGUGGCAGCAGUCGAGAAUUUUUCUUCAAUGGGGGAAACCCGU
rnacentral:rRNA from 1 species